AUACUUUUCCAUGCAUUUCGUUAUUCAAAAUUGAAAAAGACGCUGAAAGUAUAUUCUAAAUGCAAACAGGGUGAUGUUUAUAUUGUCUUGUCCUUAAAUAGCGCGUGACUGAUCUAUCUAGCGUUUGAAGCAUUACUUUAUUUGUUGUUUUUUUUUUUCAUUUUAAUUGAAGAUUAAAACGAUGCUAGGAAGACUAAUAGCAACACCAC
rnacentral:lncRNA from 1 species